CAAGUGGGGGUAAAAUGCAAGUUUUGCUAAAGUGUAAUAUAACUCAAGUUUAACUUCUUUUAUUCCUUUAGGAAAGAAGGUCUAGCAUGCCCAGAAAUCUAAAUUGACAUUCCGACAGGUCGGCGGCGCACUAAUUAUGGUAUAAGCCGUUUUAGCUCUAUUUGCACGGAGUCGCGAGAGCUCGUUGUUGAUACGGUUCGAGACGUUGAUUCCAGUUUGUUGGCAUCUCUACAGGUGAGGGGUGCUAUCCGAAAUCAUUGAAUCACUCUUUAUGUCUACGUUACCUUCUUGAGCAUAUUUGUAUAUGAAUCAUAUAAUAUUCAUGCAUUAUAGGGUAAUUGGCAUUGUGUAGUUAUGAUAUGAACAAUUGAACAAUUCUCAUUGUUAAGAAUAUGUGAACCAUAGAGUGUGAACAUAGAACCCUAUCAAUGUGUGAAUUCUACUGUGGACUAUGACAAUAGUAAACUUGGUGACAUUGUGACUAGAAGCAUAGCAUCAAUAUUGGACUGGUAAAACUAGCAUAAAGAGCUAGUUAGAAAUGAAAUUGUGACAUCGUCAGUUAUUUAAUUCUCUAAGUGAGGAUUGGAUCAUACUCACCUAUUUUGUUUUGGCUUGGUGGUGAUCGCUCCCCCCAAGCAGUACGCUCCGGAGUGUGUCAUUAAUUGGGUUGAUCGUAUAAGCCUUCCCAGUAGACGAUCCCGUCGGGAGGCAGCUUAGUGCCGGAUAUUUAGGGAUUGCGUUCGUGAGUUAUGGUUAACCAAAUGGUUAACCAGAUGGAUUGGGUAUUGAUUAUUCAUAGCAUGCAUGCAUAAAUUUUAUAUGUUAUCUACAGUUUCUUUCAGCUUUGUGCAGGCAUUGUAGUAAUUAUAUGUUAUAGCUCGUUACUAUCUAUUCACUUUUCUUGCCUACAUAUGCCUUAAUAGACCUAGUGGGUGAGUCGGCGAGAUCGGCGGCCGAACCCACUGGAAACUUUUAGUAGUUCUCACACCACUAAUCAUGCAGGUCCUAGCGCGAGCGGUGUGGCCGAGGAUCGCGGCAAGAACCCAGCAUCUUAGCUAGUAGACACCAGUAUAUAGUGGUAUACCCAUUUUGGUUUCAGAUUGUAUAUAUUUGAUGUCAAAGAAACAUGUACAUGAAUGUAUAAAGGAGCAUGUAAAUAACUAAAUAUUUCAGUUAUUUAGCUUUUACAGUUUAGUUUUAAAGUUUGAAAAUUAUAGUGAAUACAUGUUUAGUUAGUUUACUAUCACUUGUGCCUGUUGCUUGCCCUCGUG
rnacentral:lncRNA from 1 species